GUCCCCGUCUUACAGCUGCCCACUUCUGCCUAAGGCCCCUGCCAGGGGAGGGAGCCCGUGGGUGAUGAGGUCAUCCCUGUCUGUGGCUGCCCAGAGCCCUGGCCAAGGAAUCCAGUGAGGGGGGAGCUCUGGGGUUGGCACCACUUCAGUGGAAAAUGUGAAGGUGCAGCUCCGGCGCCUCCGAGGGCGGGGGUGGGGGCAGCGUGGCCGCCAUGCCACGUCAGACCCCAGGGCUGGGGAACGGGCGUAGGUCAGGGCCAGUGACCUCAGGGCACUUGAGGCUGGGCCUGCACUCACCCUGCAACCCCCUCACCUGCUCCCCUGGGCGGCCCGAAGCGGGGGUGGGCCUUGUAGGAUCAGAUGCCGACAUGGUGGCCCCCGGCUGCAGGACAUCCGGAACACGGUGGGCAACGUGCCCUUGGAGUGGUACGAUGACUUCCCCCACGUGGGCUACGACCUGGAUGGCAGGCGCAUCUACAAGCCCCUGCGGACCCGGGAUGAGCUGGACCAGUUCCUGGACAAGAUGGACGAUCCUGACUACUGGCGCACCGUGCAGGACCCGAUGACAGGGCGGGACCUGAGACUGACGGAUGAGCAGGUGGCCCUGGUGCGGCGGCUGCAGAGUGGCCAGUUUGGGGAUGUGGGCUUCAACCCCUAUGAGCCGGCUGUCGACUUCUUCAGCGGGGACGUCAUGAUCCACCCGGUGACCAACCGCCCGGCCGACAAGCGCAGCU
rnacentral:sRNA from 1 species